rnacentral:rRNA from 1 species
AGAGUUUGAUCCUGGCUCAGGAUGAACGCUGGCGGCGUGCCUAACACAUGCAAGUCGAACGGACUUUUCAUGAAGCCUAGCGAUUGAAAAGUUAGUGGCGGACGGGUGAGUAACGCGUGGGUAACCUGCCUUGUACUGGGGGACAACAGUUGGAAACGACUGCUAAUACCGCAUAAGCGCACAGCUUCGCAUGAAGCAGUGUGAAAAACUCCGGUGGUACAAGAUGGACCCGCGUCUGAUUAGCUGGUUGGUGAGGUAACGGCCCACCAAGGCGACGAUCAGUAGCCGGCCUGAGAGGGUGAACGGCCACAUUGGGACUGAGACACGGCCCAAACUCCUACGGGAGGCAGCAGUGGGGAAUAUUGCACAAUGGGGGAAACCCUGAUGCAGCGACGCCGCGUGAGUGAAGAAGUAUUUCGGUAUGUAAAGCUCUAUCAGCAGGGAAGAAAAUGACGGUACCUGACUAAGAAGCCCCGGCUAACUACGUGCCAGCAGCCGCGGUAAUACGUAGGGGGCAAGCGUUAUCCGGAUUUACUGGGUGUAAAGGGAGCGUAGACGGUUUUGCAAGUCUGAAGUGAAAGCCCGGGGCUUAACCCCGGGACUGCUUUGGAAACUGUAGAACUAGAGUGCAGGAGAGGUAAGUGGAAUUCCUAGUGUAGCGGUGAAAUGCGUAGAUAUUAGGAGGAACACCAGUGGCGAAGGCGGCUUACUGGACGGUAACUGACGUUGAGGCUCGAAAGCGUGGGGAGCAAACAGGAUUAGAUACCCUGGUAGUCCACGCCGUAAACGAUGA